CAGGCAGAAGUGUGUUGCUAAGAGCUUGACAUGUUCCCAGUCAGUGAAAUAAUAAAGACAAGGAUCAGAAAGGGGAGGAUGGAACACCUUUAUAACUGGCAGCCCUGCACUCUAUGUGGAAAGACAUGGUCUCCAUCCUGGCAGCCAGC